GACAUUUUGGUGAAAAAUUCUCCUUUUUUCAGAAGAAACAAGACAAGGUGGAUUGACUUAAGAUGAAGAAAGAGGGCAGGUCUCGAUUAGAUAUUAGGACAAAGUUCUUCCCUGUGAAGCUGUAGAAGUCUUGGCACAGGUGGCCCAGAGAAGCUGUGGAUACAUCAUCCUUGGGAGUGUUCAAGGUCAGACUGGAGCAACCUGGUCUAGUGGAAGAUGACCCUGCCCGUGGAAGGGGUUGGAACAAGAUGAUUUUAAUUCUCCAUGAAUGAAACUCCGUGUAUUUUGAAGAAGUGCUAAACAUCAUUAUGGUUUUUAAUUCCUGGAAAGAAAUUAAGUUGCCUUUUCUUCCUCCCUUCACCCCAGGAAUGCACACAGUCCAGAGCAAGAGCUUUUAUUGUGGAAAAAAAGGGCAAUUUUAUUAUCAGGACUAUUCAUACAGAAAUGUCAUUUCAGUGCUUGGUAAAAAUUCCAUUUCCUCAUCUGCAGUUCUACCUCAUUCCAGGUAGGAAGCUGCUCAUGUUCAUUUCAGUCCACUGCAGAGAGGCACAGCAAGCUCCAAAGGCCCAUCCUCUAUUGGAGAGCUCAAAUCUCUCUCAAAUUUAUCAGGAGCCAUUUGCAAUCCCAGCCAGGGCUGUUACAGUGCUAUUGAUGGGAGAUGUAGGAUCUCCUCUCCAGCACUGAAGUUCUUGUUUUUGUAACCAAAAUCCAUGUUAAGGCCUUUAAGCAACGUAUCCCAUGUGACAAUCAUUGGCUCACUUGCCAUCACUCCUCCCUCAUUUGCCUUUUUCAAAGCCGGAAAGAUGAUGUAUGGCAUCUCUAGAGCAGACAAAGUGCAGCUAGGAAUGUUAAGAGUAUAGCUGUAGCUCCUACUCCCAGGCAGCUGCUACUCAGCCUUCUAGAUAAUGCUCCUCCAUAGAGACUGAUUUUAUGAAAGGGAGUUGUCUUUUCACUCAACAAGAAACUUGUCCACAGUCUUUAAAUGCCAAGCUUUGCAUUAAAAACAAAGUAUUUCUGAAGUCUGUGGGGUACAGCUGUUUCAUCAUCCUCUUAAAAACUUUGAAUUAAGAGAUUUAAAAUAUUUCUCCAAAGUGUUUUGACUGUAACCCUACAAGUAGUGUAAGUUACCAGUAGCACACAUCAGGAAAACGUGUAGCUCAUCCAAAGCCUUCCAGACAGCCAUUGCUAUCAACAGCCAGGCAGGAGUGCUGUGAUGAGUGGGAGCAAUACUCAGAGCUUUUAAGUCAUACAGACUUUGCAGCAGUGGGUAAUUGUCAUUAUUACCCCAGUGUGAGGAAACAGGGAUGAAGUGAUUCACCCAAAGAGCACAGUGAGUCAAUAGGGGAGCUGGGAACAGAGUGCAGAACUCCCUGCAUUAUCCAUUGGAGACCUCAGAUAAUAUAAUUUUAUAAAUGCUCUAUCACUGUAAAGACUUCAGUGCUAUAAUUAUCCUCCCAGGACUCUCAUGGA